UACGAGAGGCCCAAACGUUAUUCGGAAUUACUGGGCGUAAAGUGUGCGCAGGCGGCCGCGCAAGUCGAGUGUGAAAGCCCCGAGCUUAACUUGGGAAUUGCGCUCGAAACUACGUGGCUGGAGUGUGGCAGAGGAAGGUGGAAUUCCACGUGUAGCGGUGAAAUGCGUAGAGAUGUGGAGGAACACCAAUGGCGAAGGCAGCCUUCUGGGCCAACACUGACGCUCAUGCACGAAAGCGUGGGGAGCAAACAGG
rnacentral:rRNA from 1 species